rnacentral:rRNA from 1 species
UACGUAGGGUGCGAGCGUUUAUCGGAAUUACUGGGCGUAAAGCGUGCGCAGGCGGUUCGUUGUGUCGGCGGUGAAAGCCCCGGGCUCAACCUGGGAAUGGCCGUUGAAACUGGCGAACUGGAGUGUGGCAGAGGGGGGUGGAAUUCCGCGUGUAGCAGUGAAAUGCGUAGAGAUGCGGAGGAACACCGAUGGCGAAGGCAGCCCCCUGGGCUAACACUGACGCUCAGGCACGAAAGCGUGGGGAGCAAACAGG